CGCUUGGCCCGGAGGUGGGCGCGGCGCCCUCGGGCAACGGACGGUUGCGACCCCGGCUUCGCCCCGCAGCCCCCACUUUCUGCCGAUUUCGGCAGCCUCUCUCCCACCCAUCGCCCCCCGGACAAAAUAUGAAGUGGUUGGCGGUCAGUGAGGAGUCCCGUCGCGACUUGGACGGCCACACACGUUUUGCAGGAGUUUGCAUCCGAGAGAGAGGCAGGCAGAGCGUGGGAUUGAGAAGGCUGAGGCUGCUAGAGAUGCCAGCUAUGGAAAACCAGUCAUUUCCCACCGAAAGGCACAACUUUGAUUAGUUUGUCCUUUGGAGGAGCAAUCGGACUGAUGUUUUUGAUGCUUGGAUGUGCCCUUCCAAUAUACAACAAAUACUGGCCCCUCUUUGUUCUAUUUUUUUACAUCCUUUCACCUAUUCCAUACUGCAUAGCAAGAAGAUUAGUGGAUGAUACAGAUGCUAUGAGUAACGCUUGUAAGGAACUUGCCAUCUUUCUUACAACGGGCAUUGUCGUGUCAGCUUUUGGACUCCCUAUUGUAUUUGCCAGAGCACAUCUGAUUGAGUGGGGAGCUUGUGCACUUGUUCUCACAGGAAACACAGUCAUCUUUGCAACUAUACUAGGCUUUUUCUUGGUCUUUGGAAGCAAUGACGACUUCAGCUGGCAGCAGUGGUGAAAAGAAAUUACUGAACUAUUGUCAAAUGGACUUCCUGUCAUUUGUUGGCCAUUCACGCACACAGGAGAUGGGGCAGUUAAUGCUGAAUGGUAUAGCAAGCCUCUUGGGGGUAUUUUAGGUGCUCCCUUCUCACUUUUAUUGUAAGCAUACUAUUUUCACAGAGACU
rnacentral:lncRNA from 1 species